UGCACGUCGAGGGGUAGAAGCAGCUUGCUGCUUUGAGACCGGCGCACGGGUGCGUAACGCGUAUACAAUCUACCUUUACAGAGGGAUAGCCCAGAGAAAUUUGGAUUAAUACCUCAUAGUAUUUUCGAAUCGCAUGAUUUGAUUAUUAAAGUUCCAACGGUAAAAGAUGAGUAUGCGUCCCAUUAGCUAGAUGGUAAGGUAACGGCUUACCAUGGCAACGAUGGGUAGGGGUCCUGAGAGGGAGAUCCCCCACNCUGGUACUGAGNCAGGANCCAANCNUNUACGGGAGGCAGCAGUGAGGAAUAUUGGACAAUGGGCGCAAGCCUGAUCCAGCCAUGCCGCGUGCAGGAAGACGGUCCUAUGGAUUGUAAACUGCUUUUAUACAGGAAGAAACACCUCUACGUGUAGAGACUUGACGGUACUGUAUGAAUAAGCAUCGGCUAACUCCGUGCCAGCAGCCGCGGUAAUACGGAGGAUGCCAGCGUUAUCCGGAAUCAUUGGGUUUAAAGGGGUCCGUAGGCGGCCCAAUAAGUCAGUGGUGNAAAGCCCAUCGCUCAACGAUGGNACGGCCAUUGAUACUG
rnacentral:rRNA from 1 species